ensembl:lncRNA
AAGUAAAAGUACAGAUUUUCCCCCAAACAUUUACUUAAGUAAGAGUAAAAGUACCCAUCUUUAAAUAUACUCCAAAAGUAUUAGUUACCCAAAAAAUUUACUCAAGUAAAUGUAACCAAGUAAAUGUAACUCGUUGCUACCCACCUCGGAGUAGUUUGGACUUUGCGAGUUUGACUCGGGAGUGUGAUCUCCCGCGGACGAAACAAUAGGUUACUGUCAUAACCCCGAUCCACCUAUGGGAAGGGCAUCCGUACCUGACCUCUGCAGAAGCAUCCAAUUGCACCAAGUCUGGCUAGACAGACAGAAGAGCGCAGACAAUGCCAGGUAAGGCCCCGCCCCCUUACCUAGGGACAUAUAACAGCUGCAGCGCUGCUAUUCUCCAGUAAGUAUAUUCACUUCUCGUGUGGCAACCGGGGGAAAGCUGGUGGAUCUCUCCACUCAAUGUUUCAGAGAACUGGGGUUACGACAGUUACCUAUUGUUCUCUUUCAUCAUCUCAUGUUCGAGAUCCACCUAUGGGAGAGACAUGGACAGCUCCCCCAUUGCCCAAUACACUCACAGUGAGGUUCUGAAAGCCAGAGAAGGACGGUCGCCCCAGGGAGGCGGUGCCUGACACGUCCCAUACUCAUGAACCUGCAAUACUGAUGCACACACAUGACUGCUGUGCACAUGCAGCACAUGAAACAUGUAUGCAUCACACACGAUAACCAAUGUGCAUAUAAAUACACCCAGAAAAGGAAUGGAAAUUCAUGCUUAGUGACAGGAAUGUGCAUGGCCAGCCAGUCCAUUCACUUCUUAUUCGUCACUUGCAACGGGGUUGCAGGGAAGGGCUAAGAAGACCCCACCCCUAAAACCGAAUGUGCUACUGAGAUACUGGUGACAUCCAGCCGGUAAUAACGCACAAAAGUAUGAGGAGAAGCUUAACUGGCAGCGGAGCAGAUGUCCUGCAGUGACACUCCCCUAAACAAAGCCCAAGAGGUGGCAAUGCCCCUCGUGGAAUGAGCUCUGAUGUCCC